AAUGACUAGGAAAAGAAACCUGAACAUGUUAUGACUUUCUAAGCAAUUUCAGUAACAGAAAUUCCUUCUCUUUAGAAGAGAAAUUGAAGCUAAAAGGAAAUUGGUUUUAAGCCUUAGAUGGGUACUUUCCAAGGCUCGAGCGGCAGACUAAAUGAAAUUCAUUUGUUAUGGCAGUUCUACCUUGCUAUUAACACAGGCAUUAGGAAAGCAGUGCCAGCUCAGGCGGAAUGUAAACAGAUUCAACAGAGAAGUUUACAAUGUUGACAUCAGCUGAAUGUCACCAUCAGGAGAUCAUCAUUUGCCAGGACGUGAUCCUAAUACAGGCUCACCUGCCAGCAGAGCGCAAGCAGCCCAGCGCUUGGCAGCAGUGAAGAAAAUAUUCAUAGCCGGAAGAUGUGAUUAGACUUAUUUACAAAGGAAGAAAGCAUAUAUUGAGCACCCAGCCUUUGAGAGACACUUGAGAAACGAAGAUGAAUGAAGAGAACAGAAAGAAAAGAACACAGGAAAAUGUAGUAUUAAAUGUACAAAUAAAUCAAUGCAGCAACCUGUAAUCAGGAGCGAUGGAGACUUGCUGAAGUUUUUAUUUGAGAGUCUUUAUUGGAUACUGAAAAUGCACUAGGAUUUUGUGGCAGAGAAGAGGAGCAAAGGGGAUUUGGAACCACAAAAAAACUGUGUACAAAUGUGGAGGGGUGAAAGGUUGCAGCAAAUUUAGGCAAAAUUAUGGCUGUGGUGUUGGUAUGCAGUGAGAGGAACCUGAAGUCAGUCCAAUUGUAAAGGUCUUUGUAGAGAAGUCUGAUUUUAUUUUGUGGAGUAUACAGGUCCAGUGGGUAUUUCUAGUUAGGAGUGAAAUCCUUUACAUUUAGAACAGGAGGCAAUAGAAAACCUCCACAUAACAGUGGAACAUGUAGUACUUACAUAUAGCAUUAGUAAUUAUUCUAGCUUUUGUAUUCAGAAGAGCCUAUAACCUAGUUCUAUGACCAUUUCUGUUUCUUCGGUGAUGGCAGUAUGUCUGGAAAGCACGCAAGCAGAUGUCUUUAAAAGUAAAUGCUGUGUCAGUAACGGGCAACCAGGACAAGUGCAUGAUAUUCAUGUUUUAGUGUUGGGUCUUUGUAAGGGGGUUGGUGCUUAUUGGACCUUUUGUUUACUACAGGGUUGGAAAGAUGAGUG